rnacentral:rRNA from 1 species
UACAGAGGUCUCAAGCGUUGUUCGGAUUCAUUGGGCGUAAAGGGUGCGUAGGCGGCGCGGUAAGUCGGGUGUGAAAUCUCGGGGCUUAACUCCGAAACUGCAUUCGAUACUGCCGUGCUUGAGGACUGGAGAGGAGACUGGAAUUUACGGUGUAGCGGUGAAAUGCGUAGAUAUCGUAAGGAAGACCAGUGGCGAAGGCGGGACUCUGGGCCGAUACUGACGCUGAGGAGCGAAAGCGUGGGGAGCAAACAGG